UACGUAGGGGGCGAGCGUUGUCCGGAUUUAUUGGGCGUAAAGGGCGCGUAGGCGGCUAGAUGUGUCAAAGGUGAAAUCCCUCGGCUCAACUGAGGAACUGCCUUUGAAACUGUCUGGCUUGAGGCCGGGAGAGGGUAGCGGAAUUCCCAGUGUAGCGGUGAAAUGCGUAGAUAUUGGGAGGAACACCAGUGGCGAAGGCGGCUACCUGGACCGGUUCUGACGCUGAGGCGCGAAAGCGUGGGUAGCAAACAGG
rnacentral:rRNA from 1 species